ensembl:lincRNA
AUGACAAGACCACAGGCCGACUGGCCAAAGAGCCUGGGGAGGCAGAGAGGCACAGGGUGGGGGGAGGGGCAGCAACUGGUUUGCACAUUUGCACAGAUGACAUGGCCAGCAGGUCCCACAGGCCUGUCCUGCACAAGCCCCCUCCUGCUGGGCCGACAGCUGAGUGCGGCCAGUGUGGAGCCGGGUGGGGUCACGCACAAGGCUGCUGUACAGGAUGAAGAGUGGACUUGCUUGCACCCCAAGUCAGGGUGGUGGCCAGGCCUGCCCUGCCACCUCCUUGCCCGUUUCCCCAGCAAGACAAUAAAGAUGACAACAACAUCGCCACAGGCGGGCGUGUCUAAUUUCCUAGCACCGCAGCCUCAUCCCAGACUUGGCCAAGAACAAUUCUCUGCCGUUAUUAAGAAGGCGCUGGAGGAGGUCUGGAAGGCUGUGCUGGCACCACAGCGGAUGGUGAGAGCCCUGUUUCCAGAGGGAUCCUGGCACUGCCUCUCCCGGUUGGGUGACCUUGGAUGAGUCACCUAAGCUCUCUGCCCAAGUUCCCCUUCUUUAAACGAGGCCAUGAGCGACCUGCCGCUGGGGCUGUUGUGGGGAAUACGCGAGUUAGUGUGGUGGAGCUCCCAGCACAGAGAGCCGUCGGUCACAGGCAGCUCUUACCAGCCUCAUCGCCGUUGGAGCUGGGUCUGCCCUGAUCCCGGGGAGGGGAUGAAACUUAUGCAGGGACCAGAAGGGUCUGUCCACUCUGGAGGGUGACACGGUCCUCAGCGCCCUGCCUGUCUGCAGUGAUCCAGUGGCCCGCUCAUCUCUCACCGUCAGAAAGAACACAAAAACCCAAUAAGCAACAGCCCCCAUCCCUAGGACUUCAAGAGACUUAAAGUCAAGGGAAAACUUAAACAAUGACGUGCUUCUUUUAACUUCCCUCCCCCUCCAUGCUCUUCCUUCAGAAUUAAAAACCUGAGGCCGACAACGAAAUGUAACACAGUGUCCUGCAGGGGAGCCUGGAACAGAAAGAGGACAUCAGGGAAACAGUAGAAAUCUGAGCCAACUAUGGACUCUGGUUAAUAAUAACGUAUCAAUAUUGUUUCGUUAUUUGUCGCAAAUGUACCACACCACUGUAAGAUGAUUACACUAGAGGAACCACGUGUGUGUAUGCGUGAUGUGUGCACACACACACGUAGGAACUCUGUGUACUGUCUCUGCUAACUCUGUAAAUCUAAAACUGUUGUAAAAAAUGAGGUCUGUUAAAAAGAAAAGGUGGAGGACGGGACGUUUCGAGGACCACAUGUGUUGGCGAGGACCUGCCAUCCUGGCUGGGGCUGCCGGGGGUCUAGGCUACUGGCCUCUUGGGGCAGACGGCAGCUUUGGGAGGCUGACGAUGCACAGGGCCUUUUAGAUGCUCUGAAAAAUCGCAUAGUUAAGAAGCCUGCUCCACUUUGUUUAUCCCAGCGAUUUCUUGGAUGGUCUGAAGUGCCCCACCCAGUCUGUGCAGGUAGCUGCAGGCCAUUCUCCCUGACUGUUGCACCCCUGGGCCCCUGGGCCCGGUGUCCUAAUUAUGCUCUGUGGUGGUUUGGUGCUGCGUGUACUCCAGACAAAUCCGUCUUAAACCCCAUCCGUUCCUGCGGGUGAGAGCCCACUGCAAGCCAGGCCUCUGAAUGAGCUUACUGCAGUUAAGCCGUGACCACCUCGUUCAGGAUGGGUCUUACUGGUAUCACUGGAGUCCUAUAUAAACUGAAUAAAUGCGGAGAGAAAGAAAAAGCCAUGGAAGCGAGAAACUGAAAUUGACGAAACCUAGAAGAGAAGGGACAGACUAGCAGACACUACCAAGUGCCUGGCCAUGUGACACAAGACCCUGGGAUGGUUGGCAGCAAGCUUUUGGGAAGAAAGUAUCUCCUUAAUGGUGCCUUGAUUUGGACAUUUCCCCAGAUUCAAACCACGAGCAAAAAAACUCCCACUGUUUAAAACAGAACUAUUUCGUGGUAUUUACUUUAGCAGCCUGGAAAAAGAACACGUGCUCCCAGAAGACCACAGGACUGUGGAGGCCCGGGAGCACCAGGGUUUCCAGACACGGGGGCUGGGGCUGUGCGUGCAGGUGGGCUCCCUAUGGACGAGGGCUGAGUCCCUUCCAGACAUGGCUGCACAGGCCCCUGGCAACCUCUGGCCUAACCUGUCAUUGGCCGGCCUCUUAAGGCACAGGUCACGCGUACUGGGCUAGAACACAGAGCUUGUGCGAUUUCCCCUCUACGACUGUUCAUUCAGGCAGCUGGACCUUGAGCUUGCCAUGGCAUUAAAGAAGGAUCAUUACAAUGGAAGGUAGAAGAAUGAGAGGCAAAUCCUUGUAUUGGACUUCCAGAGAUGAUCCUGUAAGAAAUUGUUAACUCCUGAGCACACAAGGCCCGUGGUGGUUUAGGAGGUGCCUUUGAGGAAAUUUAGUAACAUAUAUCAAAUGUCAAGUUUUCCAUUCUAACAGCCUUCAGGCAUACCGUUUAGUGGUGCUAAUUGCAUUCACUGUGUUGCCUUACCAUUACCAAAACUUUUUCAUGACUCCAACAGAAACUUUGCAUCCAUAAAACUGUAACUCUCCACUCCCCUCCGCCCCAGACCCUGGUAUCCUCUACUUUCCAUGUCUAUGAAUUUGCAUUUCUAGUUCUUUCAUAUAAAUGGGAUCAUAAAAUAUCUGCCC